rnacentral:rRNA from 1 species
UACGAAGGGUGCAAGCGUUAUUCGGAAUUACUGGGCGUAAAGGGCGCGUAGGCGGUUCGUUAAGUCUGUCGUGAAAUCCCCGGGCUCAACCUGGGAAUGGCGAUGGAUACUGGCGAGCUAGAGUGUGUCAGAGGAUGGUGGAAUUCCCGGUGUAGCGGUGAAAUGCGUAGAGAUCGGGAGGAACAUCAGUGGCGAAGGCGGCCAUCUGGGACAACACUGACGCUGAAGCACGAAAGCGUGGGGAGCAAACGGG